AUAACGGUCCUAAGGUAGCGAAAUUCCUUGUCAGGUAAGUUCUGACCCGCACGAAAGGUGUAACGAUCUGGGCACUGUCUCAACAACCCGCCCGGCGAAAUUGUAGUACCGGUGAAGAUGCCGGUUACCCGCGACUAGACGGAAAGACCCCAUGGAGCUUUACUGUAGCCUAAUAUUGGAUUUCGGUAUUUCACGUACAGGAUAGGUGGGAGACUGGGAAGCACAGGCGUCAGCUUGUGUGGAGUCGACCUUGGGAUACCACUCUUGGAGUGCUGGAAUUCUAACCUGCGGCUUUGAAGCAAGUCGGGGGACAUUGUUAGGUGGGCAGUUUGACUGGGGCGGUCGCCUCCUAAAGAGUAACGGAGGCGCUCAAAGGUUCGCUCUGCAUGGAUGGAAACCAUGCGUCAGAGUGUAAACGCAAAAGCGAGCCUAACUGCGAGAAUGACGGUUCGAGCAGUAACGAAAGUUGGAGUUAGUGAUCCGGCGGUAUGUGAAUGGAAAUGCCGUCGCUCAACGGAUAAAAGCUACCCUGGGGAUAACAGGCUGAUCUCCCCCAAGAGUCCACAUCGACGGGGAGGUUUGGCACCUCGAUGUCGGCUCAUCGCAUCCUGGGGCUGAAUUCGGUCCCAAGGGUUUGGCUGUUCGCCAAUUAAAGCGGUACGCGAGCUGGGUUCAGAACGUCGUGAGACAGUUCGGUCCCUAUCUGUCGUGGGCGCAGGAUAUUUGAUGGGAGCUGUCCCUAGUACGAGAGGACCGGGAUGGACGCACCUCUGGUGCACCAGUUGUCACGCCAGUGGCACAGCUGGGCAGCUAUGUGCGGAACGGAUAAACGCUGAAGGCAUCUAAGCGUGAAGCCGCCCUUAAGAUAAGAUAUCCCUUCUGUUUACAGAGUAAGACCCCUUGAAGACUACAAGGUUGAUAGGCUCAAAGUGUAAGCACGGUGACGUGUUUAGCUAGCGAGUACUAAUCGGUCGAGGGCUUAACCUU
rnacentral:rRNA from 1 species